rnacentral:rRNA from 1 species
UACGGGGGGGGCAAGCGUUGUUCGGAAUUAUUGGGAGUAAAGGGUUCGUAGGCGGCUAAAUAAGUGAGACGUGAAAUCCCUCGGCUUAACCGGGGAACUGCGUCUGAUACUGGAUGGCUUGAGUUUGGGAGAGGGAUGCGGAAUUCCAGGUGUAGCGGUGAAAUGCGUAGAUAUCUGGAGGAACACCGGUGGCGAAGGCGGCAUCCUGGACCAACACUGACGCUGAGUGAGCGAAAGCCAGGGGAGCAAACGGG